CUCCCCCGACCGCUCCGCCUCAGUCUCUCCUCUGUCUUUCCCCCUUACCAGAGCUAGGGUGUCUGUAGUCGGAGGGCUUAGCUGCUGACGGAUCCCGGUUGCUGCAUCUAGUCCUUUUUGAGUUUGUCGUUGUCCUGGCGCCCCAUGCUUUCCAUUUGUGCCAGCCGAUGAAGUCCCAGAAGUUUUCGAUGUUAUCCUUGAUGAGUAUUGCUUUAGGAGGAUGUACAUACCAUGCAAUGUGAGGGGUUUCUUAGCUGAUUAUAUCGAGGAGCACAUGAAUAUUGCAACAACUUUCAAGCACAAGAGGACUGAGCCUGCUAUUCUCACUAUGAGAGUAGGUCUUAUGCUUCAGACUUUAAGCAUCGAGGUAACUACUCAAAGUUUUGUGGCAGUGCUUGGUUUGAGUUCAGCAAUGAUUAUGCCCUUCGCGCUGGAGAUCGUGUGGUCUUUACUCUGGACAACUCAUGCUUUGACAUCAAAGUAGAGACUUUCCGUGAUGGCGAAAGGAUUCUUCCUUUACCUUCUAUUGCUUUUGAAAACCUCAGCAAUGCAAGGUACGAGCUAGUUUGCUCUGCUGUGAUGCCACGCGGCUUGGAGUUCAACUAUCACAACAACCGCUUGUUUGUACGGUCAAUUUUCCGGACUUCAAGCUUCGUGCACUGCGUUCCGUUCGUGCAUGUCAUGACUGCCACAAAUACUGAGAAGUUCACCAUGAAAAUUCCAAAGCUCGUUGUCUUUAGCUUGAGGAACUUUGUUGACAUGCCAAUCAGUGCUAGAAUCUCUCUGGAAGCUUACCUGGGUGAUACACAUGUUAUCAUGCCAUCAUCUUUCAAGCUGUGCAAGCAACAUGGGAGGAUGGUGAUCGAGAAGACCAGUUUCAGCGAGUUCAUCUCAGCCACUUCAUAUGCAAAUGACAAUGUUGUGCUCAUCACCUUCAAUGAGUCAACUUAUGACUGUUCAAUUUCAAUUGUCUUCCAGUGGCUUCUCUAGAUGAAAACAAUGAUACAAGUUUAUUUUGGGAAAGAAGUGGCUGUACUCGGUUCUUUCGUUUGCAGGCUAUAACUUUGUGGUGGCUUAUAUGUUGGAUUGUGUUACCUUUUGGAUGUAUGUAGUAGAUACUUUAAGCUAUCCGUAGUUAAGUUGAAUACUGAUGAAAAGUUUGGGUGGUUAACCUGUAGUUUAAGUUGAGGUCUGAAGAAAAGUAUGCUUAUCGUUCGUGCUAUCUGAACUAUGUCUUAUGAUUCAACGGUUAUCAUACUUUUGCGAAUGUUUUAAUGUUAUUUUUGUGGUUGUGUGUGUUUGCUGUAAUCUUUUCUGUUUGAUAUUUUUGAAUUUAUUUAUAUCUUUUUGUAGUUUGUUUUGUGAGUUUGAAUUUUUCAUUUUUUUCCUGGGUGAUCAACAAAUUCUUUGAUUGAUCUUUUCAUUUCAUAGAUCAUAUCAAUUGUUGGUUCAAAGUCACCUGAUAAAUUGUUUGAUUUUUUUCCUUUUUAUCUAUGAAAUGAUUUUUUACCCCUGAUGAGUCUACUUUAAUAUGAUUGACAUUUUUCCUUGCCGAUCAUAUAGUUUUAUUUUUUCUCUUUGGUGUCAUAUUGAUUUCUGUUCACCAGUAUCACUAAAUUUACUUCUGUACAUUUUUUCAUUCGUUUUUUCUAAAGUUAAAUGUGUGUUGAGUGUUUCAUCAUCUCAAAUGUUUUUAAAAGUGUUUAAAAAUGGUUUUGCCUAAUGGAACUAAUGCUUCAAAAUUUCUUAAGUUUUAUCUUUUUUCCCUAUUUUAUUUUUAUGUGAAUGUUUUCUGAAGCAUCUAUGGUUUUUCCUAUAUGUGAAUAUCAUUGAUGCUGUGUGAUUCGUGCAUUUUCCAUAUGUGAAAAUCAUUAGCCAAAGAGUCUCGUUGCAUCAGUUUUGAAAGCAGGCCGUUUAUUCAGUGCUUUGAGAUUCGUUCUUUUUUUCUUUUAAGUUUGUUCUUCUUUUCUGAGCGUGCAUGACUGGGCCUUCCGUGACUGAUGAGUUGCGCAACGGAUGACUUGCGUGAGUGGUGACAUCAUCAUUAUUUCAAAAAUCAGAAGUCCGUUCCCUUUCUGUGGGGGUGCUCCUCUCCUCGGGCGCGUUGUCCUCUCCUCUCCUUCCUCUCCGGCGACGUGACCACCGUUGCUGCGCCAGUGCUCCGGCAAAUUGGUGCUCUGCUCACACCAUCUGAGAGCGCGCCUCCUUCUGCAUCUAUCUCAGAAAAUGGCUAGUGACACCAAUGAUUCGGAAGACAACAAAGGGAUGUACUGCGACGAUGAUCUAGAUGAAACCUUUGCUUCGCAAAGCCAGUUUAAAGAAGGACAAACUCAGUUUCUUGAUGUAGGUGGUGGAGACCCACAGUUUGAUGUCAAAAAUUUCCUGAACAACUUGCGAAAUUUGUUUUACUCAUCAAAUGACAAUGCCAAUUCUUCUAAGAAUCUCUGCCGUGCCCCACUUCCUACAAAGAAGGCAACGAGCAGGUGUAAUCAUGGCUAUUUCAGUGAUCUGCUCAAGAAAAUUCCACCAUCAAGAUUAGAUGUCAUAAAAAAUUAUGGUUGCUCUUUUAUUCUUGAUUUUGAGUGCAAUUCAGUACCAAGAGGUUUUGCACAAUGGAUAGCAGGGAAAGUAAAUCCACCUGCUGGUGACAUAGUUCUCGACAGUAAAGUCACUCCAAUGAGCCCUGAAUCAUUUCAUCUACUGCUUGGUCUUCCAUUAGGUGGCACCUCAGUUUUAUUUCACAGUGAGGUUGCAAAAGCAACUUUCCUCAAUAUUAUUGGUGAACCUACAGUGCCUUCUAUCAAGUGGUUUGGGUUGAGAAUGCUUAAGCCUGAUAUAUCUGACAUUGAUUUUAUGAGAUGUUUUCUUCUAGUUGCCUUUGCAACCGUUCUGUGCCCCAACUCAAAUAUCUACCCCCAAAAAAAAAAAAUACCUAGGAAUUCUUAUUGAUCCAACUCAAGUUACUAACUAUGAUUUAUCAAAGUUUGUUUUUGAUUGGCUUAUGUCAUACAUAAGGAAAUAUCAAAAAGAGCCAAAGAAACCUACAAAAGAGGACGAAUUAACUACACUGGGUGGCUGCAUUUAUGGGCUUUGUUGCUAUUACUUAGAUUUUCUGGAUUUUGGGUUACGCUGAGUGCCUCCUGGAAUUCCAAGAGUAAAAGCCUGGAAAAAUUCACUAGUGAAAGAGUUUGCGAAUUUGGAUUGCAAAGGUCCAAGGGAAUAUGGCUUACGUCCUGUGAAGUUGAUAUCUCAAACAGUCUAUUCCAUGGGUUGCAUUGGUUGUUGUCAUUUACAUCAAGAUUCUACACAUGAAUCUGUGAAGUUUAGAUCUGCACUUGACAAAACUGUUGGUGGUUUACUACCUUCCUCGGUUAAAGACCAAUUAUCUUUGCUAGCUAGGCGUUUUCGUCAAACUGCUGAUGAAAAGUCUAUCAAAGGAGCUCAGAAUAUGCUUCUAGAUUCGCUGAAUUGCAUUGUAUUAGCUAGUGCUUCAGACGUUGAGCCAAAUCAAUCUGACACGAAUUCAAGAAGAAAUAUAAGCAAUAGCAUGGCAAACAGUGAUAAAUCUGUGCUCAGGAGCCAUGGAUGCAAUGAUCGUACUUCCAAUUCUAAUGUAUCUCCACUUGUUCAACGUUCUUCAAAUGUUUCCAAUGCAAAUGUGGAUUUCCAUGAUACUGCAGGUACAAGUUUAGGGAG